AUUUUGGGAAGUAAUAAGGUACCUUUACACAGUUGCAGUACAAUUCUAAUUUAGUUAUGGCACUAUAUGCCAGAGAAAGAUACUUAACUCUAGUAUAUUAAUGCCACAGCCAUUGGCGCUUACUUUACAAAUUGAGAUCUUACAUCAUAUGAAAUACAAUCCAUUGUUGACGAUGAAAGAAGUAGUUCCUCAUCACUGCACGCUGAGUGACACGAAUCAAACCCACCCGACAGGUUUCAUGCUCCUCCAACCGCUUUACCUUCCACGUCCCACAUUAAUACUUGAGCAACAAACAACUGUCCUACGUUGGAUCUGCGUCACCAGGUGAUCGAAAACCAUCUUUACACAGGGAGCGAAGGGUGACUCAACCAGCUGAUUAUGAAGCACCUAAGAACGCACGACAUGGAAAUACCUCUGCUUUUCAAUUACCAGGACUCCAACACACCCCAACUGCACCGACCUAAGACGGAGCAAACCAGUCCGUCCACUCCACAAACAGCCAAGCCUCCAACAACCCGCCGUGAACACGGCCAACCGGCUCCAGAGGAACAAAGCGUCACCCGGCUGGUAACUGUGAUGUAAUGAAU
ensembl:lncRNA